UUCUGCCCUAUCAACUAGUUGAUAAGGUAGUGGCUUACCAAGAUUAUUACGGGUAACGGGGAAUCAGGGUUCGAUUCUGGAGAGGGAGCCUGAGAAACGGCUACCACAUCCAAGGAAGGCAGCAGGCGCGCAAAUUAUCCAAUCCAAAUAAUGGGAGAUGGUAACGAGAAAUACCAGAUUGUUUCCUUAAUGGAUUCAACACUGGAAUGAAUGUAACUUAAAAAAUUCAAUGAGUAGCAACUGGAGGGCAAGUGUGGUGCCAGCAGCCGCGGUAAUUCCAGCUCCAGUAGUGUAUCCUAAAGUUGCUGCGGUUAAAACGCUCGUAGUUGGACUAUAUAGUAAUUUGGUACAGACAGGAAAGGUUUUAUGUAUGACUUAGUAGUAAUAUGAGCAUUGCGAGUAUUAUUGGUUUUUCAUAUAUUACUUUGUUGAUCUAGUAGCCAAGUUACUUAGACUAUUUUGUGAGAAUAAUAUAUGGUCUUGAUUGUAUCGUAUAUUGUAUCUUGCAUAACGUGCCUUGAAUAAAUCAGAGUGCUCAAAGCAAGCUAACGCUUGAAUGUUAAUAGCAUGGAACGAAUGUUUUGUGAAAGUAUAUGCAUAUUAUUUCGGUAAUGUGUAUAUACAGCACCAACCACGAAGCAGAACAUUGGUAGCUGUCUUCGGGUGAUGAUUAAGAGGGGCAUUUGGGGGUAUUAGUAUUUGAACGCGAGAGGUGAAAUUCUUGGACCGUUCAAGGACUAACAAGUGCGAAAGCAUUUACCAAGGAUGUUCCCUUUAAUCAAGAACGAAAGUGAGAGGAUCGAAGACGAUCAGAUACCGUCCUAGUUCUCACCGUAAAGUAUGCCAACCCGGGAUUAGCUCGGAUGUAUUUUAUUUGGAUCCAGGUUGGUCCCCCUGGGAAAUCUUUUUAAUCGUGAUGGGGAUUGAGCAUUGUAAUUAUUGCUCAUGAAAUAGGAAUCUCUAGUAAUUGCAACUCACUCAGGUUGUGAUGAAUGAAUCCCUGCUCUUUGUACACACCGCCCGUCGCUACUACCGAGUGAAUGGUGUCAUGAUGUAUUAGGACUGGACGUGUUGGCAUUUAUUGCAAAUACGCUAGGAGUAAGACAAAAUGGCCCUAUUUCGAGGAAGUAAAAGUCGUAACAAGGCUUCCGUAGGUGAACCUGCGGAAGA
rnacentral:rRNA from 1 species